GGGACCAUAGCUCAGUGACAGAGCAUUCGACUGCAGAUCGAGAGGUCCCCCGUUCAAAUCCGAGUGCUCCCU
rnacentral:tRNA from 1 species